AACGAACGCUGGCGGCAUGCCUAACACAUGCAAGUCGAACGAGACCUUCGGGCCUAGUGGCGCACGGGUGCGUAACGCGUGGGAAUCUGCCCUUGGGUUCGGAAUAACAGUUGGAAACGACUGCUAAUACCGGAUGAUGACGUAAGUCCAAAGAUUUAUCGCCCAAGGAUGAGCCCGCGUAGGAUUAGCUAGUUGGUGAGGUAAAGGCUCACCAAGGCGACGAUCCUUAGCUGGUCUGAGAGGAUGAUCAGCCACACUGGGACUGAGACACGGCCCAGACUCCUACGGGAGGCAGCAGUGGGGAAUAUUGGACAAUGGGCGAAAGCCUGAUCCAGCAAUGCCGCGUGAGUGAUGAAGGCCUUAGGGUUGUAAAGCUCUUUUACCCGGGAUGAUAAUGACAGUACCGGGAGAAUAAGCUCCGGCUAACUCCGUG
rnacentral:rRNA from 1 species